GAUAAGGAGCUUGCUCCUUUGACGUUAGCGGCGGACGGGUGAGUAACACGUGGAUAACCUACCUAUAAGACUGGGAUAACUUCGGGAAACCGGAGCUAAUACCGGAUAACAUAUUGAACCGCAUGGUUCAAUAGUGAAAGGCGGCUUUGCUGUCACUUAUAGAUGGAUCCGCGCCGUAUUAGCUAGUUGGUAAGGUAACGGCUUACCAAGGCAACGAUACGUAGCCGACCUGAGAGGGUGGUCGGCCACACUGGAACUGAGACACGGUCCAGACUCCUACGGGAGGCAGCAGUAGGGAAUCUUCCGCAAUGGGCGAAAGCCUGACGGAGCAACGCCGCGUGAGUGAUGAAGGUCUUCGGAUCGUAAAACUCUGUUAUCAGGGAAGAACAAAUGUGUAAGUAACUGUGCACAUCUUGACGGUACCUGAUCAGAAAGCCACGGCUAACUACGUGCCAGCAGCCGCGGUAAUACGUAGGUGGCAAGCGUUAUCCGGAAUUAUUGGGCGUAAAGCGCGCGUAGGCGGUUUUUUAAGUCUGAUGUGAAAGCCCACGCCUCAACCGUGGAGGGUC
rnacentral:rRNA from 1 species